CAAGAAACUGCAGGGGCGGUGGCAGCGCGAGACUCUUUUGGGCGUGGACUGAAGGGGUAAGCAAGCGGGGGAAGGCGGGGCUGGAGCCGGCGCGGGGAGGAGGCGUGUCCUGGAGUUGGCGACGGCGGCGCGCAGGCAGGGCAGCAGCAGGAGGCAGGCAGCAGCUGCUACCGGGCGGAGGCGCGGGCGGGCGGCGGGUGCGCACCGCGGCUGCCGUAGCGUCGGGUUUUGUCUGCAGCGGUUUUUGGGGUCGGCGACGGUGGCAGUAGCAGUAGCGGCAGCAGACUGUACAAAAUCUGAGCUGAAGUAUUCAUUGGCUGGCAAGUCUACUAAUAAAUAUCUGUUCUUCAGCUGGGUGAAGUGGCUGAUACUUUACAUUGCCAGCUAAUCCAGGAGACUGGGCUUAUACACUGGAACCAGAUUCUCCAGCCCUUUUUUUCUAACGUGGCACACUCCCUGGUUUUGACUUGAUUGCAGACAAAAAAAAGGUAAGGCACACUGCAUUUUUAUGUGUCCAUACUCACACAAGGGAGAGGGUGUUUCAUUGACAGGUGUUAUCUUGCAUAUGACUUUUCAUUCCAUCAUAGUAUACAUUGUAAUAGGCUUUUUGGGGCAUUGUAUUUUGACCACAGAGUGCCAU
rnacentral:lncRNA from 1 species